rnacentral:rRNA from 1 species
AGAGUUUGAUCCUGGCUCAGGAUGAACGCUGGCGGCGUGCUUAACACAUGCAAGUCGAACGAACCUUCGGGUUAGUGGCGGACGGGUGAGUAACGCGUGAGAAUCUGCCCUCAGGAGGGGGAUAACGGUUGGAAACGACCGCUAAUACCCCAUAUGCCGCGAGGUGAAAUGAAUUUCGCCUGAGGAUGAGCUCGCGUCUGAUUAGCUAGUUGGUGGGGUAAAGGCCUACCAAGGCAUCGAUCAGUAGCUGGUCUGAGAGGAUGAUCAGCCACACUGGGACUGAGACACGGCCCAGACUCCUACGGGAGGCAGCAGUGGGGAAUUUUCCGCAAUGGGCGAAAGCCUGACGGAGCAACGCCGCGUGAGGGAUGAAGGCCUCUGGGCUGUAAACCUCUUUUAUCAAGGAAGAAGAUCUGACGGUACUUGAUGAAUAAGCCACGGCUAAUUCCGUGCCAGCAGCCGCGGUAAUACGGGAGUGGCAAGCGUUAUCCGGAAUUAUUGGGCGUAAAGCGUCCGCAGGCGGCCCUUCAAGUCUGCUGUUAAAAAGUGGAGCUUAACUCCAUCAUGGCAGUGGAAACUGUUGGGCUUGAGUGUGGUAGGGGCAGAGGGAAUUCCCGGUGUAGCGGUGAAAUGCGUAGAUAUCGGGAAGAACACCAGUGGCGAAGGCGCUCUGCUGGGCCAUCACUGACGCUCAUGGACGAAAGCCAGGGGAGCGAAAGGGAUUAGAUACCCCUGUAGUCCUGGCCGUAAACGAUGAACACUAGGUGUCGGGGGAAUCGACCCCCUCGGUGUCGUAGCCAACGCGUUAAGUGUUCCGCCUGGGGAGUACGCACGCAAGUGUGAAACUCAAAGGAAUUGACGGGGGCCCGCACAAGCGGUGGAGUAUGUGGUUUAAUUCGAUGCAACGCGAAGAACCUUACCAGGGUUUGACAUCCUGCGAAUCUCUUGGAAACGAGAGAGUGCCUUCGGGAACGCAGUGACAGGUGGUGCAUGGCUGUCGUCAGCUCGUGUCGUGAGAUGUUGGGUUAAGUCCCGCAACGAGCGCAACCCACGUCUUUAGUUGCCAGCAUUUAGUUGGGCACUCUAGAGAGACCGCCGGUGAUAAACCGGAGGAAGGUGUGGAUGACGUCAAGUCAUCAUGCCCCUUACAUCCUGGGCUACACACGUACUACAAUGCUACGGACAAAGGGCAGCAAGUUCGCGAGGACAAGCAAAUCCCAUAAACCGUGGCUCAGUUCAGAUCGUAGGCUGCAACUCGCCUACGUGAAGGAGGAAUCGCUAGUAAUCGCAGGUCAGCAUACUGCGGUGAAUACGUUCCCGGGCCUUGUACACACCGCCCGUCACACCAUGGAAGUUGGCCACGCCCGAAGCCGUUACUCCAACCCUCGGGAGGAGGACGUCGAAGGUGGGGCUGAUGACUGGGGUGAAGUCGUAACAAGGUAACC